GCCCUUGUUAGUAUAGUGGUCAGUAUCACUGCCUGUCACGCAGGAGACCGGGUUCAAUUCCCGGCGGGAGGCA
rnacentral:tRNA from 1 species